AUUGAACGCUGGCGGAAUGCUUUACACAUGCAAGUCGAACGGCAGCACGGACUUCGGUCUGGUGGCGAGUGGCGAACGGGUGAGUAAUGUAUCGGAACGUGCCCAGUCGUGGGGGAUAACGUAGUGAAAAUUACGCUAAUACCGCAUACGAUCUAUGGAUGAAAGCGGGGGAUCGCAAGACCUCGCGCGAUUGGAGCGGCCGAUAUCAGAUUAGGUAGUUGGUGGGGUAAAGGCCCACCAAGCCAACGAUCUGUAGCUGGUCUGAGAGGACGACCAGCCUCACUGGAACUGAGACACGGUCCAGACUCCUACGGGAGGCAGCAGUGGGGAAUUUUGGACAAUGGGCGAAAGCCUGAUCCAGCCAUUCCGCGUGCAGGAUGAAGGCCCUCGGGUUGUAAACUGCUUUUGUACAGAACGAAAAGGUUUCUACUAAUACUAGGAGUUCAUGACGGUACUGUAAGAAUAAGCACCGGCUAACUACGUGCCAGCCGCCGCUGUAA
rnacentral:rRNA from 1 species